rnacentral:rRNA from 1 species
AGAGUUUGAUCCUGGCUCAGGAUGAACGCUAGCGGCAGGCUUAAUACAUGCAAGUCGUGGGGCAGCAUGGUGUAGCAAUACACUGAUGGCGACCGGCAAACGGGUGCGGAACACGUACGCAACCUUCCCAAAACUGGUGAAUAGCCCUCCGAAAGGAGGAUUAAUACACCGUAACAUAAUGAAGUGGCAUCACUUUAUUAUUAUAGCUCCGGCGGUUUUGGAUGGGCGUGCGCCUGAUUAGGUAGUUGGCGGGGUAACGGCCCACCAAGCCUGCGAUCAGUAACUGGUGUGAGAGCACGACCAGUCACACGGGCACUGAGACACGGGCCCGACUCCUACGGGAGGCAGCAGUAAGGAAUAUUGGUCAAUGGACGCAAGUCUGAACCAGCCAUGCCGCGUGAAGGAUGAAGGUCCUCUGGAUUGUAAACUUCUUUUAUCUGGGACGAAAAACAGGAAUUCUUUCCUGCUCGACGGUACCAGAGGAAUAAGCACCGGCUAACUCCGUGCCAGCAGCCGCGGUAAUACGGAGGGUGCAAGCGUUAUCCGGAUUCACUGGGUUUAAAGGGUGCGUAGGUGGGCAGGUAAGUCAGUGGUGAAAUCUCCGGGCUUAACUCGGAAACUGCCAUUGAUACUAUCUGUCUUGAAUAUCCUGGAGGUAAGCGGAAUAUGUCAUGUAGCGGUGAAAUGCUUAGAUAUGACAUAGAACACCCAUUGCGAAGGCAGCUUACUACGGGAUUAUUGACACUGAGGCACGAAAGCGUGGGGAUCAAACAGGAUUAGAUACCCUAGUAGUCC